UACGUAGGGGGCAAGCGUUAUCCGGAUUUACUGGGUGUAAAGGGAGCGUAGACGGCUUCGCAAGCCAGAUGUGAAAGCCCGGGGCUCAACCUCGGGACUGCAUUUGGAACUGUAUGGCUGGAGUGUCGGAGAGGCAGGCGGAAUUCCUAGUGUAGCGGUGAAAUGCGUAGAUAUUAGGAGGAACACCAGUGGCGAAGGCGGCCUGCUGGACGAUGACUGACGUUGAGGCUCGAAAGCGUGGGGAGCAAACAGG
rnacentral:rRNA from 1 species